rnacentral:rRNA from 1 species
UGGGGAAUUUUGGACAAUGGGCGAAAGCCUGAUCCAGCAAUGCCGCGUGUGUGAAGAAGGCCUUCGGGUUGUAAAGCACUUUUGUCCGGAAAGAAAUCCUUGGCUCUAAUACAGUCGGGGGAUGACGGUACCGGAAGAAUAAGCACCGGCUAACUACGUGCCAGCAGCCGCGGUAAUACGUAGGGUGCAAGCGUUAAUCGGAAUUACUGGGCGUAAAGCGUGCGCAGGCGGUUUGCUAAGACCGAUGUGAAAUCCCCGGGCUCAACCUGGGAACUGCAUUGGUGACUGGCAGGCUAGAGUAUGGCAGAGGGGGGUUAGAAUUCCACGUGUAGCAGUGAAAUGCGUAGAGAUGUGGAGGAAUACCGAUGGCGAAGGCAGCCCCCUGGGCCAAUACUGACGCUCAUGCACGAAAGCGUGGGGAGCAAACAGGAUUCAGAUACCCUGGUAGUCCACGCCCUAAACGAUGUCAACUAGUUGUUGGGGAUUCAUUUCCUUAGUAACGUAGCUAACGCGUGAAGUUGACCGCCU